UACGGGGGGGGCAAGCGUUGCUCGGAAUCACUGGGCGUAAAGGGCGUGUAGGCGGGAAGGAAAGUCAGAUGGGAAAUCCCUGGGCUCAACCCAGGAACUGCAUUUGAAACUCCCUUUCUUGAGUACCGGAGAGGAAGGUGGAAUACCUGGUGUAGAGGUGAAAUUCGUAGAUAUCAGGUGGAACACCAGUGGCGAAGGCGGCCUUCUGGACGGUAACUGACGCUGAGACGCGAAAGCGUGGGGAGCAAACAGG
rnacentral:rRNA from 1 species